AUUGAACGCUGGCGGAAUGCUUUACACAUGCAAGUCGAACGGCAGCACGGGUGCUUGCACCUGGUGGCGAGUGGCGAACGGGUGAGUAAUACAUCGGAACGUACGUUAUCGUGGGGGAUAACGCAGUGAAAGCUGUGCGAAUACCGCAUACGUCCUGAGGGGGAAAGCGUGGGAUCGCAAGACCUCGCGAGAAUAGAGCGGCCGAUGCCUGAUUAGCUAGUUGGUGGGGUAAAAGCCCACCAAGGCGACGAUCAGUAGCUAGUCUGAGAGGACGAUCAGCGACACUGGGACUGAGACACGGCCCAGACUGCUACGGGAGGCAGCAGUGGGGAAUUUUGGACAAUGGGGGCAACCCUGAUCCAGCAAUGCCGCGUGAGUGAAGAAGGCCUUCGGGUUGUAAAGCUCUUUUGUCAGGGAAGAAACACCGGCUCUAACACAGUCCGGGAAUGACGGUACCUGAAGAAUAAGCACCGGCUAACUACGUGCCAGCCGCCGCAGUAA
rnacentral:rRNA from 1 species